UGGGGAAUCUUGCGCAAUGGGCGAAAGCCUGACGCAGCAACGCCGCGUGAGCGAAGACGGCCUUCGGGUUGUAAAGCUCUGUCAGGAGGGACGAAGCCACUCGGGUGAACAGCCCAGAGGGUGACGGUACCUCCAGAGGAAGCCCCGGCUAACUACGUGCCAGCAGCCGCGGUAAUACGUAGGGGGCUAGCGUUGUCCGGAAUCAUUGGGCGUAAAGCGCGUGUAGGCGGCUUGGCAAGUCCGAUGUGAAAGCUCGAGGCUCAACCUCGAGUCUGCAUUGGAAACUGCCUGGCUAGAGUCCGGAAGAGGGGACUGGAAUUCCUGGUGUAGCGGUGAAAUGCGCAGAUAUCAGGAAGAACACCGGUGGCGAAGGCGGGUCCCUGGGACGGUACUGACGCUGAGACGCGAAAGCGUGGGGAGCAAACAGG
rnacentral:rRNA from 1 species